rnacentral:rRNA from 1 species
UGGGGAAUAUUGCACAAUGGGCGCAAGCCUGAUGCAGCCAUGCCGCGUGUAUGAAGAAGGCCUUCGGGUUGUAAAGUACUUUCAGCGGGGAGGAAGGGAGUAAAGUUAAUACCUUUGCUCAUUGACGUUACCCGAAGAAGAAGCACCGGCUAACUCCGUGCCAGCAGCCGCGGUAAUACGGAGGGUGCAAGCGUUAAUCGGAAUUACUGGGCGUAAAGCGCACGCAGGCGGUUUGUUAAGUCAGAUGUGAAAUACCCGGGCUCAACCUGGGAACUGCAUCUGAUACUGGCAAGCUUGAGUCUCGUAGAGGGGGGUAGAAUUCCAGGUGUAGCGGUGAAAUGCGUAGAGAUCUGGAGGAAUACCGGUGGCGAAGGCGGCCCCCUGGACGAAGACUGACGCUCAGGUGCGAAAGCGUGGGGAGCAAACAGG